GAUGAACGCUGGCGGCGUGCUUAACACAUGCAAGUCGAACGAUGAAGCCCAGCUUGCUGGGUGGAUUAGUGGCGAACGGGUGAGUAACACGUGAGUAACCUGCCCUUAACUCUGGGAUAAGCCUGGGAAACUGGGUCUAAUACCGGAUAGGAGCGUCCACCGCAUGGUGGGUGUUGGAAAGAUUUAUCGGUUUUGGAUGGACUCGCGGUCUAUCAGCUUGUUGGUGAGGUAAUGGCUCACCAAGGCGACGACGGGUAGCCGGCCUGAGAGGGUGACCGGCCACACUGGGACUGAGACACGGCCCAGACUCCUACGGGAGGCAGCAGUGGGGAAUAUUGCACAAUGGGCGCAAGCCUGAUGCAGCGACGCCGCGUGAGGGAUGACGGCCUUCGGGUUGUAAACCUCUUUCAGUAGGGAAGAAGCGAAAGUGACGGUACCUGCAGAAGAAGCACCGGCUAACUACGUG
rnacentral:rRNA from 1 species